rnacentral:rRNA from 1 species
UGUGAAGAAGGCCUUCGGGUUGUAAAGCACUUUUGUCCGGAAAGAAAACCAUCGCCCUAAUAUGGUGGGGGGAUGACGGUACCGGAAGAAUAAGCACCGGCUAACUACGUGCCAGCAGCCGCGGUAAUACGUAGGGUGCGAGCGUUAAUCGGAAUUACUGGGCGUAAAGCGUGCGCAGGCGGUCUGUUAAGACCGAUGUGAAAUCCCCGGGCUUAACCUGGGAACUGCAUUGGUGACUGGCAGGCUUUGAGUGUGGCAAAGGGGGGUAGAAUUCCACGUGUAGCAUUGAAAUGCGUAAAGAUGUGGAGGAAUACCGAUGGCGAAGGCAGCCCCCUGGGCCAACACUGACGCUCAUGCACAAAAGCGUGGGGAGCAAACAGGAUUAAAUACCCUGGUAGUCCACGCCCUAAACAAUGUCAACUAGUUGUUGGGGAUUCAUUUCCUUAGUAACGUAGCUAACGCGUGAAGUUGACCGCCUGGGGAGUACGGUCGCAAGAUUAAAACUCAAAGGAAUUGACGGGGACCCGCACAAGCGGUGGAUGAUGUGGAUUAAUUCGAUGCAACGCGAAAAACCUUACCUACCCUUGACAUGGUCGGAAUCC